rnacentral:tRNA from 1 species
GGGUUACAGCUCAGUUGGUAGAGUGCCUGCCUUGCAUGCACAAGGCCCUGGGUUCAAGCCCCAGCACACGCCCA